rnacentral:snRNA from 1 species
UGACCUCCCGGGAAGUCCUCGUG